AUUUAAAUCCCCGGCGCUCCUCAGUCUAGGUGACGCGCAGUCGCCCCCCCAGGCAACGGCAGCAGCUGCGGCGGCUGCAAGGGCAGAUUCCGAGCUCUGGGGCGAAGGGGAGCAGAGGCUUGCCUUCCGCGCGCGGACUUCGCUCGCCCCCCCCCCCGGAGGUGGGGGCUGGGAGGCAUCCCCCUCUCGUCUCCGCCCCUUCCCCACAGCGCGCAGAAAGAUGAACUGGCAAGAGGUCUGUUUGCCUGGAGCCAUCAACAGCUGGGAAACUAAUCAACCACACUGAAAAUGUUCGGGGAUUUGUGGGGGAGGGGUUGGAAUGUAGAUGUUUGAAACAAAUGUGUAUAAAUAAAUGAAUUGUUCAUAACUUA